rnacentral:misc_RNA from 1 species
UUGUGGAGGAGGACGCCGAAGGUGGGGCUAAUGACUGGGGUGAAGUCGUAACAAGGUAGCCGUACCGGAAGGUGCGGCUGGAUCACCUCCUAACAGGGAGACAACAAAAUGUUUAAUAUUAUUUUGUCACCUUAGGUCGAUCGGUAUCUCACGUUCUUAAUUUAUUAAGAAUUUCAUUUCCUAAGUUUUUCUAGGUCACACCCAUUAUUUUUCCUGGGCCAUUAGCUCAGGUGGUUAGAGCGCACCCCUGAUAAGGGUGAGGUCCCUGGUUCAAGUCCAGGAUGGCCAUAUCUCUAUGUUGGGGGUAUAGCUCAGUUGGUAGAGCGCCUGCUUUGCAAGCAGGAUGUCAGCGGUUCGAGUCCGCUUACCUCCACUGAUUACCACCUCUUCCAUAAUCUGUAGAAAGGAAAUGUUUUGAGUUGUGAUCAAAUUCUGAAAGAAUCUAGCUUCCUAAUGAAAUCAUUAAGAUGCUGGACUCAUUGAAUUAAUUUCAUUGUUUUCAGAGAACCUUGACAACUGCAUAGAUUAUUUUUAAAGACAAUAAGCAUUUUUAGUAAUGCAGAUUUAUUAUUUGUGCGAAUGCAUUAAUAACAAUUCUAUUAAGCUGAUGCUUCAAUUUUGAAGUUAUUGGUCAAGCUACAA